rnacentral:rRNA from 1 species
CCUACGGGUGGCAGCAGUGGGGAAUAUUGCACAAUGGGGGAAACCCUGAUCCAGCGAAGCCGCGUGAAGGAAGACGUAUUUAGGUAUGGAAACUUCUUUUAGCAGGGAAGAAAAGGACGGUACCUGACUAAGAAGCCCCGGCUAACUAGUUGCCAGCAGCCGCGGUACUACGGAGGGUGCAGGGGUUAUCCGGAUUUACUGGGUGUAAAGGGAGGGUAGGCGGUUGAGCAAGUCAGAAGUGAAAGCCCGAGGCUCAACUUCGGGACUGCUUUUGAAACUGUGUAACUAGAUUGCAGGAGAGGUAAGUGGAAUUCCUAGUGUAGCGGUGAAAUGCGUAGAUAUUAGGAGGAACACCAGUGGCGAAGGCGGCUUACUGGACUGUAAAUGACGCUGAGGCUCGAAAGCGUGGGGAGCAAACAGGAUUAGAUACCCGUGUAGUC